rnacentral:rRNA from 1 species
UACGAAGGUCCCAAGCGUUAAUCGGAAUUACUGGGCGUAAAGCGUGCGCAGGCGGUUUUGUAAGUCUGACGUGAAAUCCCCGGGCUCAACCUGGGAAUUGCGUUGGAGACUGCAAGGCUGGAGUCUGGCAGAGGGGGGUAGAAUUCCACGUGUAGCAGUGAAAUGCGUAGAGAUGUGGAGGAACACCGAUGGCGAAGGCAGCCCCCUGGGUCAAGACUGACGCUCAUGCACGAAAGCGUGGGGAGCAAACAGG